rnacentral:sRNA from 1 species
CAUCUUUACCGUUCGAAACAUGAAGAAGAUAUCAUACUUUUCAAUCUCAAGUUUUCAUAUCCUGUUCCCUCAAGAUUGAUCGUGAACUUUCUUGAGCUUUCCAGUAUUUUUCUUUUCGUAUAUGUGGUCAUUUACAUGUCGACAUCAUAGUUCUGGUGUUCUUACUUUUUAUUAUACCGUUAUAUCAGGAAGUAAAGCUCAUUCAGGCGUUUCCUUGUCUGGAAAGCAUUUCCAAAGUCGAUGUGAUCGUACCAUUAAAUAAACUAUAUCUGCGACCUCAUUCAAUUCUACUAUAUGGAUCUCCUCCAUCCCUUCGCCCGCUUCGUCAUGCACAUAUAGUUCCAUGCUUCUUGCAACUCAUAUAGGUCAUCUACAUAUCUAUCUACAUAUCUUCAUAUAUUUCCAUCCCAGAGAGGCUUGACUUGCAACCAUGUAUCCCAUCGUUGAUUUAAUCCAGAAAAUUCAAGACACUUCCCCCCACAGCGGAAUCCUUCUGGGAUACUUCCGCAAUGCCAUCCUAUGGUCAUGCGUGUUUCUCGUCUUCAUGACGGGGAUCGCGGGAAGGAUUGAACAGUUGGAGAAUCAUGCCAAGGCAUCUCCUACUAUUCGCUCCGCCAGCCACGCAUAUAGAAAACUCUUGAACAAGCGCGCACGAUACCAUGUUCAUGUUCUGCCCACUAUCCUCGAGGAAGAGGAGGAGCAUCAACUUCUAGAAUGGCAACACAUUGCACUGCUGGAAGGCGAUAUCGUUUCGAGGCCACAUUCCCAAAUUCUUCUAAGAGCGAAAGAUUAGGAAGAAAGCCAGCCUUGGGAUGAAAGAAAGAAAGGUGAUAUAUAUAUAUAGAUAUGUAUCGUGCAUCCAUGUAUCCAUGUGUGAUUUGUUUCGCCCCAGCUAUGCAAAUAGCAUGUGCGAUUGGUGCACUGUAUCAUUCUAGGGAACACAAUCUCGCAGGCACUCAUUCUACCACUAGAAGCGGGGGGAGAAAGCACGUCCAGUCAUAUCCGUCAUGCCCAAGUUCGACUCAAUCGGAUUCGACUUAAAAAUAAAAGGUCUAUCUAAAUGCGUCAGAAGUGCCCUACGUUAUCAUGCGCCACUUGAUGAUAACUUCGGGACAACAGAAAAAGCAUAUCAUCCUCAUUCCAUACCAAUCUCAGACCUCCUCGAACAAAUGAUUGUAGUGCAAGGUUUCCCCCAGGCCAGUGAACAUGUUCAGUGAGAUAAAUGGCACCGGAUCGGUCCUGAAAGCGCCACGUAGGGACGAAAAGGACGACGGGGAAAUCUGGGGUCUUCGCGACGAAGGUAAGAAUGCUCCAGUGAGAAAAUGACGUCAUACUCGCAGGGUAAAAAGGCGUCGUGGGCUGGGUAGUUGGUCAAGUUCAAAAGACUUGAAUAAUAGAAACUCUCCGAAUAGCGUUGGUUUUUUAUUUAUUUUAUUUUUAUCUUGAAUUUUCUUGCCAUAUAUUGCUCUUCCGUAAUUUGUAUGGAUUUUGGUUUACCUAGGUAUUAUUCCUGGUGUAUAGUAUCAAUACCGAAUGUAUUGAUGCGUAUGAUGUCAAGGCCUUUUUUUUUUUUUUUUCAUAUUUAUGCAUCUGAGCGUUAGCUCUGCUUUUGAAUGGUGGAUGAUAAUUGGUUGGUAAGGUGUUUUAUGGAAUGAAUCACCAUGAGAAGCCGCUCGAUAGUAGUCACAAAGGAAGAGAGCUUAUACAAGGUAGUGGCGAAAAAGCUACAAUGGAUUCCAUAUCAUCGUCUUUUUGACUGAACAAAUGGAGGAUGUAUUAAUUGCCGCUCAACAAUAGAGGAAGAAAAAAGGGUAUGAAAGUCCAAUGGCACAAAUUUCAAGCUCAAAACCAUAUCUUAAUCAAUUCCUCACUGACGGCGCUGGGUGUUAGCACGCCACUCUCCGUAAUGAGAGCUGAGAUUAGAUGGGGAGGUGUGAAAUCGACAGAUGCCCGUUUUAUUGACGUUCCCCCUUCGCCAGAUGCCAACGUUUGCCCACUAAGCAGCGCGUCGAGGUGAUCCGUUUUUUCUUUCGUUGCAUAUUCGUGGGGUGGGCUUCCUGCUUGAAUGCUGGUGGUUUUCCUGGAGGACUCACCGCUGGAAUCUAUUUUGAAAUCGACCACAUUCUGUUUGAUCGGCAGGUCGUAUUGCCCGAGUGGGUAGAGUCUGACGAACUUGUGACUCUCUGCAACGACAUAGAAUGGCUUGCUUUCAGCCUUCGCUAGAAGGCCAAUUUGAUACGUUCCCAGACGCGAUAUGAUACCGCCGUUCUCAACCACGCCUUCGGCGCCGACAAUAACCAUAUCUACCAUCCCCAGUGCGUAUGCCACUGCCGACUCUGGGAUUGUAGCUACUGGAAUACCCUUCGAUCUAAGUGCAUUGACCGUAUCCAUACCUUCUGGAUUCGGCCCGGACGAACUGCCAUCACAAUUAUCCGACAAAACAUGAAUGACCUUGAAUCUAGCCGCUGGAGUUCCUGAUUCCUUCAGCUCGUCUGCAGCCUUCCGCAACAAGGCACUAACCACCCUUGAACCACCGUUUGUCAACACAGUGCUUCCAUCUCGUAUAAAUCCUCUUCCGAAUGCAGCAAUUCUAUCCCUGCUUUCCUUUGCGCGCUUUAUGAAUAACCGGCCGUUGGUUAGGAGAUGCGACCUGAUCGCAUUGAAAUCCCCUCCGGGGCCGAGUUGGCCUGGUCUUUGCAAUGUUGUUAUGAGGUACCGUUGGAAAAGAUCAGUGCCUGCUGAAAGGGCGAUUGGAUUCGGUAUCGUACGUUUUAAGUGUGUGGUGUGUUUUUCUAGUAGAUCCAGAGUUUCAGAUAUUGUGGAAGAAGGGUUGUGAGUUAGGAGAAGGACUAAUGCUUCGAUAGCCGCGAUCGGCAUUGUGAGGUCGGGAUCGGAAAGGAGGAGGUCAUUGUAUGUGGCAACAAUAUCAAAUGGUUCGUUAGUGCCUUCUGGUGACAUAUUUGCUACCAUUGGAUGCGUAAAUGUCCGCUCACCGGCAGAGAGCAACUGAUCAAAACGGCCUAGGAGAGUUUUUCGCAAACGGGUAAAUGGUCA